AUUGAACGCUGGCGGCAGGCCUAACACAUGCAAGUCGAACGAGUGGCGGACGGGUGAGUAAUGUCUGGGAAACUGCCUGAUGGAGGGGGAUAACUACUGGAAACGGUAGCUAAUACCGCAUACCAUCGGAUGUGCCCAGAUGGGAUUAGCUAGUAGGUGGGGUAACGGCUCACCUAGGCGACGAUCCCUAUCUGGUCUGAGAGGAUGACCAGACACACUGGAACUGAGACACGGUACAGAAGCCUACGGGAGGCAGAAGUGGGGAAUAUUGCACAAUGGGCGCAAGACUGAUGCAGCAAUGCCGAGUGUAUGAAGAAGGCCUUCGGGUUGGAAAGUACUUUCAGCGGGGAGGCGUUACCCGCAGAAGAAGCACCGGCUAACUCCGUGCCAACAGCCGCGGUAAUUC
rnacentral:rRNA from 1 species